rnacentral:rRNA from 1 species
GAUGAACGCUGGCGGCGUGCCUAAUACAUGCAAGUCGAGCGAACAGAUGAUGAGCUUGCUCCUCUGACGUUAGCGGCGGACGGGUGAGUAACACGUGGCUAACCUCCCUAUAAUACUGGGAUAACUUCGGGAAACCGGAGCCAAUACCGGAUAAUAUAUUGAACCGCAUGGUUCAAUAGUGAAAGACGGUUUUGCUGUCAUUUAUAGAUGGAUCCGCGCCGCAUUAGCUAGUUUGUAAGGUACCGCCUUACCAAGGCAACGAUGCGUAGCCGACCUGAGAGGGUGAUCGGCCACCCUGGAACUGAGACACGGUCCAGACUCCUACGGGAGGCAGCAGAAGGGAAUCGUCCGCAACGGGCGAAAGCCUGACGGAGCAACGCCGCGUGAGUGAUGAAGGUCUUCGGAUCGUAAAACUCUGUUAUUAGGGAAGAACAAAUGUGUAAGUAACUAUGCACGUCUUGACGGUACCUAAUCAGAAAGCCACGGCUAACUACGUG